GACGAACGCUGGCGGCGUGCUUAACACAUGCAAGUCGAACGGAAAGGCCCUGCUUUUGUGGGGUGCUCGAGUGGCGAACGGGUGAGUAACACGUGAGUAACCUGCCCUUGACUUUGGGAUAACUUCAGGAAACUGGGGCUAAUACCGGAUAGGAGCUCCUGCUGCAUGGUGGGGGUUGGAACGUUUCGGCGGUUGGGGAUGGACUCGCGGCUUAUCAGCUUGUUGGUGGGGUAGUGGCUUACCAAGGCUUUGACGGGUAGCCGGCCUGAGAGGGGGACCGGCCACAUUGGGACUGAGGAACGGCCCAGACUCCUACGGGAGGCAGCGGUGGGGAAUAUUGCACAAUGGGCGGAAGCCUGAUGCAGCAACGCCGCGUGCGGGAUGACGGCCUUCUGGUUGUAAACCGCUUUCGCCUGUGACGAAGCGUGAGUGACGGUAAUGGGUAAAGAAGCACCGGCUAACUACGUG
rnacentral:rRNA from 1 species